CAAAGAGUCGGCCAUUUCUGGCGUUCAAAUGAACCACCUCAAAACGUCUCAGCAAACUGUAAUCUCAUAACAGCAGCACGAAAACGAUAGUUGCAGCUACCUCCACCUGCUGUACAGGAAUGCAAAGGCACACCCUACUUUUGUCAGCCUUCCCUCCAAUACAGAAUGCCCCUUUCACAAAGGGUGGUGGAAGACAGAGGGAGUCAAAGACCAACUUCACUCCACGUCAUACAUGAAACGACUGCAGAACUAGAGAGCUCCUACAGAAGUAAACUACUUGUAGGUGCACAAAAGAGUAUUAUCUCAGGUCCCCCCCACCCAGCAACUCCUAGACAUGAUUAUAACCCUAUGCCCCCCAGUAUUUUUUCUUAUGUUGUAAGAAAAAAUUCACAGUCUCAUAUUUCUUCUUUUUUUGCAAUCUUUUGUGACUAUGCAUUCAUCAAUU